rnacentral:rRNA from 1 species
GAUGAACGCUGGCGGCGUGCCUAAUACAUGCAAGUCGAGCGAACAGAUGAGGAGCUUGCUCCUCUGACGUUAGCGGCGGACGGGUGAGUAACACGUGGAUAACCUACCUAUAAGACUGGGAUAACUUCGGGAAACCGGAGCUAAUACCGGAUAAUAUAUUGAACCGCAUGGUUCAAUAGUGAAAGACGGUUUUGCUGUCACUUAUAGAUGGAUCCGCGCCGCAUUAGCUAGUUGGUAAGGUAACGGCUUACCAAGGCAACGAUGCGUAGCCGACCUGAGAGGGUGAUCGGCCACACUGGAGCUGAGACACGGUCCAGACUCCUACGGGAGGCAGCAGUAGGGAAUCUGCCGCAAUGGGCGGAAGCCUGACGGAGCAACGCCGCGUGAGUGAUGAAGGUCUUCCGAGCGUAAAACUCUGUUAUUAGGGAAGAACAAAUGUGUAAGUAACUAUGCACGUCUUGACGGUACCUAAUCAGAAAGCCACGGCUAACUACGUG